rnacentral:rRNA from 1 species
GCAAGUCGAACGAAGUAGCAAUACUUAGUGGCAAACGGGUGAGUAACACGUAGUCAACCUACCUUUAAGUGGGGGAUAACUAGCCGAAAGGUUAGCUAAUACCGCAUGUGAUCUUCGAGUGGCAUCACUUGACGAUCAAAGCAGCAAUGCGCUUAGAGACCGGACUGCGUCCCAUUAGCUAGUUGGUGGGGUAAUGGCCUACCAAGGCUCCGAUGGGUAGCCGGCUUGAGAGAGCGACCAGCCACACUGGAACUGAGACACGGUCCACACUCCUACGGGAGGCAGCAGUGAGGAAUUUUCCGCAAUGGGGGCAACCCUGACGGAGCGACGCCGCGUGUGGGAAGAAGGCCUUCGGGUCGUAAACCACUGUCGAAGGGGACGAUAUUGACGGUACCCUUGGAGGAAGCCCCGGCUAACUACGUGCCAGCAGCCGCGGUAAGACGUAGGGGGCAAGCGUCGUCCGGAAUCAUUGGGCGUAAAGCGCUCGUAGGCGGAUCUUUAAGUCUGUGAAGAAAGACCUG